rnacentral:rRNA from 1 species
CCGUCUUGAAACACGGACCAAGGAGUCUAACAUGUGCGCGAGUCACUCGGUCUUGAUUAGGCCAGGGAGGCGCAAUGAAAGUAAUCGUUUUAUUUUGUUACGAUCCUCAUUUGUUUUCGUUGCUCAUUAAAUGUGUGUGUGACGACAGUGGGGCGCAGUAACGGCCUGCCAAUCUCGCCUAUUGACGAUUUGGCAGAGUUAUAGCGUACACGUUGGUACCCGAAAGAUGGUGAACUAUGCCUGGGCAAGACGAAGCCAGAGGAAACUCUGGUGGAGGUCUGUAGCGAUUCUGACGUGCAAAUCGAUCGUCCGACCUGGGUAUAGGGGCGAAAGACUAAUCGAACCAUCU